rnacentral:rRNA from 1 species
GACGAACCUUGCAAACGUUAUUCGGAAUCACUGGGCUUAAAGGGUGCGUAGGCUGUGCAGAAAGUUGGGUGUGAAAUACCUCGGCUUAACCGAGGAAUUGCGCCCAAAACUACUGUGCUCGAGGAAGAUAGAGGUGAGCGGAACUUAGGGUGGAGCGGUGAAAUGCGUUGAUAUCCUAAGGAACACCGGUGGCGAAAGCGGCUCACUGGAUCUUAUCUGACGCUGAGGCACGAAAGCCAGGGUAGCAAACAGG